rnacentral:rRNA from 1 species
GUCUAUGGCCAUGCUACCCCGAACAAGCCUAAUCCCGUCUAAUCUCAGAAGCUAAGCAAGGUUGGGCCUGGUUAGUACUUGGAUGGGAGACCACCUAGGAAGACCAGGUGCUGUAGGCA